AGUGGGAAAGUGGAUUGGUGCCUUCAAUUGCUCGAGGAGCUGAAUUGAGACGUAGUUUAAGUUUCGCGGACGAAACUCUUUUUAAGGGGUAGAGAAUGUAACAUAUCGAACUUCUACAACUAUAAAGUUUUGGUAGAUGUUAGAAGCUAUUGGAGUAGUUCCGGUGACGUUCGGGAGCAUUUUAGUGUUUUCGGUGCGAGUUGGGCACGAAAACGGAACCCGAAAAGUUAUGAUUGGGCUUUGGCCUAAAUCCGGCAAAGCAUGAAUGAAACGAUGAUAGAAACGUGCUCAAAUCAUGUUUUGGGGGUCUCGGAACGAUUAGAAAUGCGUCGGAGGCCCCGGGAAUGAAAACGGAGCGAAAUCAGUGAA
rnacentral:lncRNA from 1 species